GAAAUCGGAAACGCAUUAAUGUAGCCUGUUAUGGUCGAAUGGUUUUGAUUGUUAUCGUAUUUUACAUUAAUAACUUAGUACCUACGAGUCAUGUGUAGGUACCGACAACACUCUCAAAUAGAAUUGAGCAGUUGUUUUGUGGGUACUUUAGUUGACAAUUAAAAUAUUGUUGCUUUUAUUUCUAUCUCUCUCUCCUGGAGAAGCGUGUUUAAUCAAUAGGUACCUAAAAUAUUUUUGACGGACAAUAGUACCAAAUGUAAUUUCAAAAUCUUUUUGUUAACCAUACCAGUACAAUCGCUCAUUAUUACUGUGGUGAAACAAACCAGAUAUAUUUGUUGACACGUUAAUUCAUUAGAUAACGUUAUCAGUUGGCGCUGAAGUACACAACUCAACUAUGACUACGGAAAGCGAACCGUCCAGUUCCUACAUAGUGGUUAAAUGCAUACAUUACAUUUUCAUUUUUGAUCUCAAAGAGUCGACGUCACUCGGAGAGUUGGUUUCUUUGGUCGAGUUUCGGAGGAAAACUUUGCGAGGUCACAAAACGCUAGUGCUCGCUCCAUCCCGAUCACCCUACCACUGUUGGACAUAGGGCUCUACGCAGCUGUUCGUCGCCGGAAUGUAUAGCAAUAUCGCUAUUCGUACCUAGUACUUGCAGUAAGAAAAAAGAAUGGUCGCCAAAGCGACAACGACCUAUAUUCGCGGUCCGUUAUUUUAAAUCGUUUCACCGUAAUACACUUUUAUAGUGCAUAUUUUAUUAAGGAUUUUUUAUAUUUUCGUGACA